rnacentral:rRNA from 1 species
AUUGAACGCUGGCGGCAGGCCUAACACAUGCAAGUCGAGCGAGCGGCGGGCGGGGGAGUAAUGUGUGUGAGACUGCCUGAGGGAGGGGGGGAACUACUGUGGACAGUGGCUAAUACACCGUACCAUAAGAUGUGCGCAGAUGGGAUUAGCUAGUAGGUGGGGUAACGGCUCACCUAGGCGACGAUCCCUAGCUGGUCUGAGAGGAUGACCAGCCACACUGGAACUGAGACACGGCCCAGACUCCUACGGGAGGCAGCAGUGGGGAAUAUUGCACAAUGGGCGCAAGCCUGAUGCAGCCAUGCCGCGUGUGUGAAGAAGGCCUUCGGGUUGUAAAGCACUUUCAGCGGGGAGGCGUUACCCGCAGAAGAAGCACCGGCUAACUCCGUGCCAGCCGCCGCGGUAAUAC